GGCUUAGUGGUUCAGUGGUAAAGCGCUCGUCGCGGACUCAGAGGGGCCUGGCUUCGGUCCCCGACGGGGUCG
rnacentral:tRNA from 1 species